rnacentral:rRNA from 1 species
UACGAAGGGGGGCUAGCGUUGCUCGGAAUUACUGGGCGUAAAGGGCGCGUAGGCGGAUAGUUUAGUCAGAGGUGAAAGCCCAGGGCUCAACCUUGGAAUUGCCUUUGAUACUGGCUAUCUUGAGUUCGGGAGAGGUGAGUGGAAUGCCGAGUGUAGAGGUGAAAUUCGUAGAUAUUGGGAAGAACACCGGUGGCGAAGGCGGCGACCUGGUCCGAUACUGACGCUGAGGCGCGAAAGCGUGGGGAGCAAACAGG